UCCCGCCGCUCUCUAAAAUUAGGGCUAGGUUAGGCGUGUUUCCCACUCUCUCCCCUCUCUGAAAUUUCAAUCUCUUCUUCUCGUGAGUCUGUGAUAGAGAGUCCGAGAUCAGUCUGAAAUUUCAAUCAGUCGUCCACCGUCCGUCGCUCCUCCGGCGCUUCACCCACCGCAACACCUGACGCCUCCCCCCUCGUUGAUCGAUUUUGCCGCCCACCACCACCUCGGCGAAUGGAUUAGGCGAAGCCCUAGCCGCCGCCGUUAAGAGCCACCACCGGAGAGGGCUCGACGUCGCGAAGCUGUUGCCGCCACUCUACCUUCGCCUCGACGAUAUUCUGCCGCCCAUCUCCGCCCCAGAGACAUCCCAAAGCCGCCGCUAGGGCUCACCGUCUUCGACAAGCAGGUCGUGUUGUUCAAAGACGGCGAUGGAGUAAUUAGGUGUUACGAAGAUCGUUGCCCCCACAGGCUAGCAAAGUUGUCUGAGGGCCAACUCUAUGAUGGGAGAUUGGAGUGUUUGUACCAUGGCUGGCAAUUUGAAGGAAAUGGUAAAUGUGUGAAGAUCCCUCAGGUUUACUGUUAUCUAUAAUAAAUCUUAAAGUUGAAGCUGUUCAAGAAGUUUUAAGGCAGAUGAUUUUUUCAAUCUUGACUAAACAUGGUUUUCUCAACAGCUCUACCUGCUCCUGCUCCUGUUAUGGCCCAUGCAGUUGUCGAGACACCUGCUUUAAAUGGCUCAGUCUCAUCACCAUCAUUGGCACUCUCCAGAUCAGUUUCUUCCCCAGGUGGAGUUCAGUCUCUGCUUGAUAAGGCAACAGAUGAGGGCUUGGUGAUACUUCAAUCUCCAAGGGUUGGGUAUUUUAAAAGAUCCAGGACCAUUAAAGGGGAGAAGGCUCCUCCAUCUUAAAGAUAAAUAUUCUGUUAUAUUUAUAUGAACAGUGGCUCGCUUGACAUCAAAUUAAUUUCUAUGCGCCACCAUUUCAUCGGACUAAAAAAUUGAAGAUGCCAAGAGCUUCCUAUAUUGCCAGAAGGGAGUCUGUGCUUGGUUCCAAAUGCUCAUUGAGAAGCAUUUUAACACCUCCUCAUUCGACGUUUCUGUUGCGUUUUAAAAUUGGACAAUUGGACCUUGGAGUAGUUGUUUAGUAAGGGAAUAUGCUAAAGUUAGAACUAAUGAAUCUAUUGAGAUGAAUAUGGAUAAAGAUGUUAUCCGAUUUAAAAUUAGUGAUCAAAGUCAAGAAGGAACAUCCUUAAAUAAAAGGAAAGCACUGACAAAAAAGUCAGACGUGUCAAGAAAUGCGAAGCUCAACGAACUUAGGUUUUAUCGGUUGAAAGCAAAGAAGAAAAUAAAUUCUCCAAAUCCUGAAGUUAGGAUAAGGUACAAGCUUGAGAAGGCAAAGAGAAAAGAAGGGUGGUUCAUAU